CACACACUAUAACAUAUCUUUUUUUAGUAAUGAUAAUUAUAAUUGUUUCAGGGCGACAUGAGUUCAGAACUUCUAAAACUUCAAAAUAUCUAUCCAGGCACUCGGGGAGAAGCUACCAUGCUAUCAAAAAUCACAUCAGAGUUCCAACGAAAAUGAACACCAAAACAAAGGUGGCAGUCCAGGCAACCUUCACCUGCAACUCAGAAGAACCGUGACGGCAGACCUUCUCUUCUUCAGGGUAUUCUAGAACGACUGAGGUGUGUUCAGCCUCAUCAUCAGUAAUGAAACAGACAUUGAGCACAACUUCAUCAGAUAAAUUGACGUGAAGAGGGACAGCUACCAAGUUACACCUUAAGGCAACAGAACCACUAUCUUCAGAAACACAGGCCCCUGCGGCCUUGCUAUCAUCAUACUCAUACAGAAUGAUAUGAGUAUAUAUAUACUGUCGGAAUAAUUGAACUGCAAAAGUGUUACUUCAGAAUCUUUUUUCAGAGGUUGGGAGAAGAAUUCACAGGGGAAUUCUCUUCAUGAAACUGAAACUCUGAAAGGCUGAAACCACAGCGACAGGAGCUUCAAUCCUCCUUGCCCUGACGAUUCAGAUUCCACCCGUCACUAUUAUCAGGUUCUAUAUUUCAGCUGUACUGACAGGAGCUUCAAACAUAUCACAUUUACCACUUGUACAUAUCACAUUUUCAGUACCGAUAGAUAUUCUCUAUCUUUCCAUCAUACAUAAAUGCGGCAGCAAAGCAACCGAACGGAUUUUGAUUAAAAUCGGAUUAAAGUAAAAUUUGUAUUACUGUGACAGUAGUCCAAUCAAGCAGAAUUUGUAUUUAACAAAUCAUUUUUUGUUUUAUCUGAUGUCUAGUGAAGUGUUGUAGUAGUAGGAAGAGAACCAGAUAUUGUAAAAAUUUACAGGGAUUUCCAAGCGAGUAACAGUUCAUCAUAUUCACAAGUUGGAGUCGACUGAGCCAGCGUCUACACAAAGUCUAACAUUGUUUCAUCACGAAUUCAUACUA